rnacentral:tRNA from 1 species
AUCGUUACGACCGAUUCGCCCUAGAGCUGCGUUUAGCCCAGCUUCGUAAGAACCUAUUUGAUUCUUACACCCCGCCAUC